ensembl:lncRNA
GUCCAUCAUCGUAUAAAGCCCGCCUUAAUAAUUUGAUUGGUACGGCCAAUAUCUGUCCGCAGAUAAUUUCUCCUCAAUGGAGUAAUGCCAGACCGAACUUCCCAACCAAAAAAUGUGUGGGCGGGGCUAAGGUCGGUCUGGUAUCCAGGCUAGUAUUUAUCUGUAUUUACAUAAACAUUGGAUUUAUAUGUACAUGUCUUUGUAUUUCUUUGGAUUCUUCUACAGAUCUCUCAUCUCCUACAGAAAAUAUGGCAUCACAAACCCUACCUCCACGACAGGAUAAACUCACAGAUUCAGUGGAUGGAGAUACCUUCUGUGAAAAGCAGGAAUAUUCAGAUUAUGACGGUGGGACGGAGUCUGAGAAGUUGAACAAUGAAGGUAAGAUCCAGAAAGCUCAAGAGAUCCAGACGGAGGACAUUGACCACAAGUCUGAGGACAGCAUAGUUGAAGAACUGAGCCAAGAUGAUCAGAGUGACAUUGACAUUGAGGCGGUACAUUUAGUGGAGGUUGAAAGCAACAUCAUCAGCUUCACUGAAAUGAGGAAACCAGCGGCAUGUGCAGCAGUCCAGGAGGACCAGUCUGGGCAACAGUCAGCAAAGCCAAAAGACAUGGCAAAGGAACAGAAGGAUGGUGAUAUGAAGGCAGAAAUAUUGAGGGUGGAAGAACAAGUGAAGAGAGUUCAAGAAAACAGCCAGAAGCAUAAGACAAAACAGAAGCAAGAGACAAUGAGGUUAAAUGAAGAAGAAGAGAUAAAGAUGAUGGAUGCAGAACAUGAUAAAGCCAAUAUGUCAAGGAGACUGGAAGAGAAGAGUAUGAGUGCUCUGGAAGAAGAGGAGAGGAGGAAAGUAAAGGAGGAAGUUGAGACAGAGAUGGUGAAAGGACAUCCAUCCCCUGCAGAGAAGUUAGAGUCUGAUGAUAAAGUCUUGAGAGUCCCAGAAGAAUGUGAAAAAGAAGGAAAGAAAGGCAGGAAUAAAGGCAAGGAGAUCCUGACGGAGGACAAAGAACCUAUGAUGAAGCCCGAAAAGACAGCACAUGCAAAUUCAGAGAAUAUUCUACUGAAGUCACCUUUACAAGGAGAUCACCUCUCUUCCAUUGUGGAAAAGGUGACAUCAAAACCUUUGCCACCAUUACAAGACAUGGACAAGCAUCAGCUACAUGAUGGUUCUAAUGGAGCAAUGGGGACCAUGAAGAAGCAAAAGAAAAAGGCAAAAGACACAAGAAAAAGAAACACAGAGGCUAAAAAAAGGAAAGACAACGAGGUAAAAAGAUUGGAAAUGGACAGAGACACAACGGAGAAAGAGAAAGAGAAGAUGGUUGAAGAAAAAAAGAAAGCCGAGCUGAUUUGGAGACUGGAGGAGGAAAGACUAAAGGCUUUGGCAGAAGUGACAGAAACAGACAUGGCAAAGGAACAGAAGGACGGUGAUAUGAAGGCAGAAAUAUUGAGGGUGGAAGAACAAGGGAAGAGAGUUCAAGAAAACAGCCAGAAGCAUAAGACAAAACAGGAGCAAGAGACAAUGAAGUUAAAUAUGGGCAGAGAAAGAAUGGAAGAAGAGAUAAAGAUGAUGGAUGCAGAACAUGAUAAAGCCAAUAUGUCAAGGAGACUGGAAGAGAAGAGUAUGAGUGCUCUGGAAGAAGAGGAGAGGAGGAGAGUAAAGAAGGAAGUUGAGACAGAAAUGGUAAAAGGACAUCCCUCCCCUGCAGAAAAGUUAGAGUCUGAUGAUAAAGUCUUGAGAGAGCCUGCAGAAUGUGAAAAAGAAGGAAAGAAAGGCAGGAAUAAAGGCAAGGAGAUCCUGACGGAGGACAAAGAACCUAUGAUGAAGCCCGAAAAGACAGCACAUGCAAAUUCAGAGAAUAUUCUACUGAAGUCACCUUUACAAGGAGAUCACCUCUCUCCCAUUGUGGAAAAGGUGACGUCAAAACCUUUGCCACCAUUACAAGGUAGUCUCACUUGUUGUUGUUAGAAUCUUGUUGUUGAGUUGUGUUUAUAUGUGUAUGACCUAGAUGUAAAACAUCCUCAGCCCGCUGGUGAAUUUCAGUUUCCUGUUCAACUCUGCAAAGUUAUCACUAGUACACCUCCAGUGAUUAACACUGUAGAAACUUGUGUUCAAAAGAGAUAUUGUGAGAUGGCUUGUUUUUGCACUGAUGUACAAAUGAUGUGUGUGUUUUAAAAUCCUUUAAUUAGACAUGUGCAAGCAUCAGCUAGAUGAUGGUUCUAAUGCAGCAAUGGAUGAGGAAUGCAUGAGGAAGCAAAAGAAAAAGGCAAAAGACACAAGAAAAAGAAACAUACAGGCUGAAAAAAGAAAAUACGAGUUAAAAAGAUUGGAAAUGGACAGGGACACAACGAAGAAAGAGAAAAAGAAGAUGGUUGAAGAAAAAAAGAAAGCUGAGCUGAUUAGGAGAUUAGAGGAGGAGAGACUGAAGGCUUUGGCAGAAGUGAAAGAAAUGUUGAAAGCAAAAAAAGCUAUUCGAAUGUAAACACUAUCGGAAGGGCCAUCUUCCGAAUAAGAUAAUCAGAGACGUAAGACAAAUGUCAUCAUUCCAGAUACUCAC